CCUACGGGAGGCAGCAGUGAGGAAUAUUGGUCAAUGGACGCAAGUCUGAACCAGCCAUGCCGCGUGCAGGAAGACGGCUCUAUGAGUUGUAAACUGCUUUUGUACGAGGGUAAACGCAGAUACGCGUAUCUGUCUGAAAGUAUCGUACGAAUAAGGAUCGGCUAACUCCGUGCCAGCAGCCGCGGUAAUACGGAGGAUUCAAGCGUUAUCCGGAUUUAUUGGGUUUAAAGGGUGCGUAGGCGGUCGGAUAAGUUAGAGGUGAAAUCCCGAGGCUCAACUUCGGAAUUGCCUCUGAUACUGUUCGGCGAGAGAGUAGUUGCGGUAGGCGGAAUGUAUGGUGUAGCGGUGAAAUGCUUAGAGAUCAUACAGAACACCGAUUGCGAAGGCAGCUUACCAAGCUACUUCUGACGUUGAGGCACGAAGGCGUGGGGAGCAAACAGGAUUAGAUACCCUAGUAGUC
rnacentral:rRNA from 1 species